AGGCCACUGCUAUCGGGGUUCGAUUAAGCCAUGCGAGUCGAGAGGUGCAAGACCUCGGCGCACUGCUCAGUAACACGUGGACAACCUACCCUGUGGAGGGGGAUAACCCCGGAAAACUGGGGAUAAUACCCCAUAGAUUAGGGAUGCUGGAAUGCCCCCUAGUUCAAAGGUCCGCCGCCACAGGAUGGGUCUGCGGCCGAUUAGGUUGUUGUUGGGGUAACGGCCCAACAAGCCAUUGAUCGGUACGGGUUGUGGGAGCAAGAGCCCGGAGAUGGAUUCUGAGACACGAAUCCAGGCCCUACGGGGCGCAGCAGGCGCGAAAACUUUACAAUGCGAGAAAUCGUGAUAAGGGAACCCCGAGUGCCCGUAAAUUCGGGCUGUCCGUCAGUGUAAAUAACUGGCGAAGAAAGGGCCGGGCAAGACCGGUGCCAGCCGCCGCGGUAAUACCGGCGGCUCGAGUGGUGGCCGCUAUUACUGGGCCUAAAGCGUCCGUAGCUGGGUUGUUAAGUCUCCUGGGAAAUCCACCGGCUCAACCGAUGGGCGUUCAGGAGAUACUGGCAACCUAGGGACCGGGAGAGGUGAGAGGUACUCCAGGGGUAGGAGUGAAAUCCUGUAAUCCUUGGGGGACCACCUGUGGCGAAGGCGUCUCACCAGAACGGCUCCGACAGUGAGGGACGAAAGCUGGGGGAGCAAACCGGAUUA
rnacentral:rRNA from 1 species